AUUGAACGCUGGCGGCGUGCUUAACACAUGCAAGUCGAUCGGUAACAGGUGUAGCAAUACAUGCUGACGAGAGGCGGACGGGUGAGUAAUGCUUGGGAAUCUGCCUAUUAGUGGGGGACAACCCGGGGAAACUCGGGCUAAUACCGCAUACGCUCUACGGAGGAAAGCCGGGGACCGCAAGGCCUGGCGCUAAUAGAUGAGCCCAAGUCGGAUUAGCUAGUUGGUAGGGUAACGGCCUACCAAGGCGACAAUCCGUAGCUGGUCUGAGAGGACGACCAGCCACACCGGAACUGAGACACGGUCCGGACUCCUACGGGAGGCAGCAGUGGGGAAUAUUGGACAAUGGGGGGCAACCCUGAUCCAGCGACGCCGCGUGGGUGAAGAAGGCCUGCGGGUUGUAAGCCCUUUCGGUGGGGAAGAAAAGUCUCGACCUAAUACGUCGGGACCUUGACGUAACCCACUAAAGAAGC
rnacentral:rRNA from 1 species